GACAGAGGGGGCAAGCGUUGCUCGGAAUUACUGGGCGUAAAGGGCGCGUAGGCGGGAUGGCAAGUCGGUCGUGAAAGCCUUCGGCUCAACCGAAGAACGUCGGCCGAUACUGCCGUUCUUGAGGGAUGCAGAGGAGACUGGAAUUCCCGGUGUAGCGGUGAAAUGUGUAGAGAUCGGGAGGAACACCGGUGGCGAAGGCGGGUCUCUGGGCAUCUCCUGACGCUGAGGCGCGAAAGCGGUGGGGAGCAAACGGGG
rnacentral:rRNA from 1 species